rnacentral:rRNA from 1 species
UACGUAGGGUGCGAGCGUUGUCCGGAAUUACUGGGCGUAAAGAGCUCGUAGGUGGUUUGUCGCGUUGUUCGUGAAAUCUCACGGCUUAACUGUGAGCGUGCGGGCGAUACGGGCAGACUAGAGUACUGCAGGGGAGACUGGAAUUCCUGGUGUAGCGGUGGAAUGCGCAGAUAUCAGGAGGAACACCGAUGGCGAAGGCAGGUCUCUGGGCAACUACUGACGCUGAGAAGCGAAAGCAUGGGGAGCAAACAGG